rnacentral:rRNA from 1 species
UGGGGAAUAUUGCGCAAUGGGGGCAACCCUGACGCAGCAACGCCGCGUGAGUGAUGAAGGCCUUCGGGUCGUAAAGCUCUGUCAGGUGGAACGAACCGUGCAUGGCCAAUAUCCAUGCAUCUGACGGUACUACCAAAGGAAGCACCAGCUAACUCCGUUCCAGCAGCCGCGGUAAUACGGGGGGUGCAAGCGUUGUUCGGGAUCAUUGGGCGUAAAGAGCGUGUAGGCGGCUUGAUAAGUCAGAUGUGAAAGACCUGGGCUUAACCCAGGAAGUGCAUUUGAUACUGUCUUGCUUGAGUAAGGGAGAGGAAAGCGGAAUUCCUGGUGUAGAGGUGAAAUUCGUAGAUAUCAGGAGGAACACCGGUGGCGAAGGCGGCUUUCUGGCCCUAUACUGACGCUGAGACGCGAGAGCGUGGGUAGCAAACA